ACGGAGUAACCCGAAAAUCCGAAGAAUAGAGUAGGAA
rfam:Bacteroidales bacterium 36-12 SCNpilot_bf_inoc_scaffold_328, whole genome shotgun sequence.